AAGCUACUCCCUCCGUUCGGAAUUACUUGUCGUGAAAAUGGAUGUAUCUAGAACUAAAAUAUGUCUAGAUACAUCCAUUUCUGCGACAAGUAAUUCCGAACAGAGGGAGUAGAUA
rnacentral:pre_miRNA from 1 species